rnacentral:rRNA from 1 species
GGGGUAGUAGGACUGCGACAUUGAUGAAAUAAAUGAAAUGGAACACCUUGGAAAAUGUGAUCACAGAGGGUGAUAAUCCCGUACAUGCAAGUUUAUGAAUCAUAGCAGACUCCUGAGUAAGUCGGGACACGUGUAAUCCUGACCGAAUCCGCCGGGACCAUCCGGCAAGGCUAAAUACUCCUGAGAGACCGAUAGUGAACCAGUACCGUGAGGGAAAGGUGAAAAGCACUUCGAACAGAAGAGUGAAAUAGUCCCUGAACCCAUACGCCUACAAGCAGUCGGAGCCGCUUCGUGCGGUGACGGCGUGCCUUUUGCAUAAUGAGCCUACGAGUUACUCAUCACCAGCGAGGUUAAGUACUUCAGGUACGUAAGCCGAAGCGAAAGCGAGUCUGAAUAGGGCGUCAAGUUGGUGGUGGUAGACGCGAAACCUUAGUGAUCUACCCAUGGGCAGGGUGAAGGUUUGGUAACACAAACUGGAGGCCCGAACCGGUAAACGUUGAAAAGUUUUCGGAUGACCUGUGGGUAGGGGUGAAAGGCCAAUCAAACUGGGAAAUAGCUCGUACUCUCCGAAAUGCAUUUAGGUGCAGCCUCUGUUGUUUUGUUCUAGAGGUAGAGCUACUGAUUGGAUGCGAGGGCUUCACCGCCUAUCAAAUCCGGCCAAACUCCGAAUGCUAGAACAUGAAGACAGGGAGUGAGCCAGCGGGUGCUAAGGUCCGUUGACGAAAGAGGGAGAACUCAGACCAUCAGCUAAGGUCCCCAAUUAUAUGCUAAGUUGGAAUAAAAACGGGGUGGGACUGCUUAGACAGCUAGGAUGUUGGCUUGGAAGCAGCCAUUCAUUUAAAGAGUGCGUAACAGCUCACUAGUCGAGCGGUCCUGCAUGGAUAAUACGCGGGCAUAAGCAUAUAACCGAAGCUAUGGGAUUGUAGAUGAUACAAUCGGUAGGAGAGCAUUCCAUUCAGCAUAGAAGCAGUACCGUGAGGUAUUGUGGAGCGGAUGGAAAAGCAAAUGUAGGCAUAAGUAACGAUAAUGCGGGUGAGAACCCCGCACGCCGAAAGAUCAAGGAUUCCCCGGCAAUGUCAAUCAUCCGGGGGUAAGUCGGAUCCUAAGGGUAAGCCGAGUGGCGAUCCCGAUGGCAAACAGGUUAAUAUUCCUGUACUGAUCAUAACUGCGAUGCAGCGACGCAGAGGUGACACUGCUGCGUACUGACGGAAUAGUACGUUGAAACCCGUAUUCUUUGAUACCGGUAGUGAAGCACGCCGGUAGAGAUGAAAGGUGAUAGUACCGCAAUGCUUCGGUUGCGCGGAUAAUGCAGGUAAGCUGACUGCCAAGAAAACCUGCUAAGCUUCAGGUAAUGAUCAUCCGUACUGUAAACGGACACACGUGAUCAGGUAGAAAAUACUAAGGCGCUCGAGAGAUUCAUGGUUAAGGAACUAGGCAAAAUGGUCCUGUAACUUCGGGAUAAAGGACGCUCUUGUGAAAGAGCCGCAGAUAAUAGGCCCAGGCGACUGUUUACCAAAAACACAUGGCUAUGCUAAUUCGCAAGAAGAUGUAUAUGGCCUGACACCUGCCCGGUGCCGGAAGGUUAAGAGGAGAGCUCAGAGGUAACUCGAAGGUUUGAAUUGAAGCCCCGGUAAACGGCGGCCGUAACUAUAACGGUCCUAAGGUAGCGAAAUUCCUUGUCGGGUAAGUUCCGACCUGCACGAAUGGUGUAACGAUCUGGGUACUGUCUCAACCAUGAGCUCGGUGAAAUUGUAGUUCCGGUGAAGAUGCCGGAUACCCGCAACGGGACGGAAAGACCCCGUGAACCUUUACUGCAGCUUUGCAUUGAUUUUGGGUAACAGAUGUGUAGGAUAGGUCGGAGGCUUUGAUGCUGCGUCGUCAGGCGUAGAGUAGCCGUCGUUGAAAUACGACCCUUUUGUUAUCUGAGGUCUAAUCCCGUUAGGGAGACAUUGCAUGGUGGGUAGUUUGACUGGGGUGGUCGCCUCCAAAAGUGUAACGGAGGCUUCUCAAGGUACCCUCAAGGCGUUUGGUAAUCGUCUGCAGAGUGCAAUGGCAUAAGGGUGCUUGACUGUGAGACCGACACGUCGAUCAGGUUGGAAACAAGAGCAUAGUGAUCCGGUGGUUCCGCAUGGAAGGGCCAUCGCU